rnacentral:rRNA from 1 species
GAUGAACGCUGGCGGCGUGCCUAAUACAUGCAAGUCGAGCGAACGGACGAGAAGCUUGCUUCUCUGAUGUUAGCGGCGGACGGGUGAGUAACACGUGGAUAACCUACCUAUAAGACUGGGAUAACUUCGGGAAACCGUAGCUAAUACCGGAUAAUAUUUUGAACCGCAUGGUUCAAAAGUGAAAGACGGUCUUGCUGUCACUUAUAGAUGGAUCCGCGCUGCAUUAGCUAGUUGGUAAGGUAACGGCUUACCAAGGCAACGAUGCAUAGCCGACCUGAGAGGGUGAUCGGCCACACUGGAACUGAGACACGGUCCAGACUCCUACGGGAGGCAGCAGUAGGGAAUCUUCCGCAAUGGGCGAAAGCCUGACGGAGCAACGCCGCGUGAGUGAUGAAGGUCUUCGGAUCGUAAAACUCUGUUAUUAGGGAAGAACAUAUGUGUAAGUAACUGUGCACAUCUUGACGGUACCUAAUCAGAAAGCCACGGCUAACUACGUGCCAGCAGCCGCGGUAAUACGUAGGUGGCAAGCGUUAUCCGGAAUUAUUGGGCGUAAAGCGCGCGUAGGCGGUUUUUUAAGUCUGAUGUGAAAGCCCACGGCUCAACCGUGGAGGGUCAUUGGAAACUGGAAAACUUGAGUGCGGAAGAGGAAAGUGGAAUUCCGUGUGUAGCGGUGAAAUGCGCAGAGAUAUGGAGGAACACCAGUGGCGAAGGCGACUUUCUGGUCUGUAACUGACGCUGAUGUGCGAAAGCGUGGGGAUCAAACAGGAUUAGAUACCCUGGUAGUCCACGCCGUAAACGAUGAGUGCUAAGUGUUAGGGGGUUUCCGCCCCUUAGUGCUGCAGCUAACGCAUUAAGCACUCCGCCUGGGGAGUACGACCGCAAGGUUGAAACUCAAAGGAAUUGGCGGGGACCCGCACAAGCGGUGGAGCAUGUGGUUUAAUUCGAAGCAGCGCGAAGAACCUUACCAAAUCUUGACAUCCUUUGACAACUCUAGAGAUAGAGCCUUCCCCUUCGGGGGACAAAGUGACAGGUGGUGCAUGGUUGUCGUCAGCUCGUGUCGUGAGAUGUUGGGUUAAGUCCCGCAACGAGCGCAACCCUUAAGCUUAGUUGCCAUCAUUAAGUUGGGCACUCUAAGUUGACUGCCGGUGACAAACCGGAGGAAGGUGGGGAUGACGUCAAAUCAUCAUGCCCCUUAUGAUUUGGGCUACACACGUGCUACAAUGGACAAUACAAAGGGCAGCGAAACCGCGAGGUCAAGCAAAUCCCAUAAAGUUGUUCUCAGUUCGGAUUGUAGUCUGCAACUCGACUACAUGAAGCUGGAAUCGCUAGUAAUCGUAGAUCAGCAUGCUACGGUGAAUACGUUCCCGGGUCU